AGAUCCUUCCAGGAGGGAUUACUGCUUUCAGGCUGAAUGGGAAUCCAAAGGGCUCUGCUCUAUCGGGGAGGCCUCAGAACCAGCUGAUGAGACAUGGUGGAUUCCCCAACACUCGAAGUCUGUACAUCAAAGCAGGAUGUCUUUCUAAAGAAGAGGCUAUAGCUCAGCCUGAAGAGACAGGCUGACUACAGAAGUUCCUGGACAAGUUUCUCUGGCCUGUGCCAUGCCGGAGAUCAGAGACUUUUCUGAACCGCAGGAAAAUAAUUUGCACCAUCAGCAAUUCUGAUAAUUUUUAAAAAAAUAUAAUGGUAGUAAGUCCAAGAGGAUGGGACUGCGGGCUGAGUCCCAGGGGAUGGCUUGUGUCCGCUCUCUUCCCCCAUCCCUUGCUCCAAACAGCCCUUCC